UCAGCCGCCGCGGUAAUACGGAGGGUGCAAGCGUUAUCCGGAUUCACUGGGUUUAAAGGGAGCGUAGGUGGACUUUUAAGUCAGUGGUGAAAUCUCUGGGCUUAACCCGGAAACUGCCAUUGAUACUAUUAGUCUUGAAUUCUCUGGAGGUAAGCGGAAUAUGUCAUGUAGCGGUGAAAUGCUUAGAUAUGACAUAGAACACCCAUUGCGAAGGCAGCUUACUACGGAGACAUUGACACUGAGGCUCGAAAGCGUGGGGAUCAAACAGGAUUAGAUACCCUGGUAGUCCACGCCCUAAACGAUGAUUACUCGACAUUAGCGAUAUUACUGUUAGUGUCUAAGCGAAAGCAUUAAGUAAUCCACCUGGGAAGUACGACCGCAAGGUUGAAACUUAAAGGAAUUGGCGGGGGA
rnacentral:rRNA from 1 species